GGGCCUAUAGCACAACGGUUAGUGCAGCAGACUCAUAAUCUGUCGGUUCCAGGUUCGAGUCCUGGUGGGCCCACCA
rnacentral:tRNA from 1 species